rnacentral:rRNA from 1 species
AUUGAACGCUGGCGGAAUGCUUUACACAUGCAAGUCGAACGGCAGCACGGACUUCGGUCUGGUGGCGAGUGGCGAACGGGUGAGUAAUGUAUCGGGACGUGCCCAGUCGUGGGGGAUAACGUAGUGAAAAUUACGCUAAUACCGCAUACGAUCUAUGGAUGAAAGCGGGGGAUCGCAAGACCUCGCGCGAUUGGAGCGGCCGAUAUCAGAUUAGGUAGUUGGUGGGGUAAAGGCCCACCAAGCCAACGAUCUGUAGCUGGUCUGAGAGGACGACCAGCGACGCUGGAACUGAGACGCGGUCCAGACUCCUACGGGAGGCAGCAGUGGGGAAUUUUGGACAAUGGGCGAAAGCCUGAUCCAGCCAUUCCGCGUGCAGGAUGAAGGCCCUCGGGUUGUAAACUGCUUUUGUACAGAACGAAAAGGUUUCUACUAAUACUAGGAGCUCAUGACGGUACUGUAAGAAUAAGCACCGGCUAACUACGUGCCAGCCGCCGCGGUAA